rnacentral:rRNA from 1 species
CGCCAGACCCAUAUCUCCCUGCAGGUCUUGCCUGGUUUCCCACUGAAGCUAAGCAGGGUACAGCCUGGCCAGUACCUGGAUGGGAGACCUCCUGGGGAAACCUAAGUGGAAGUGGUAU